rnacentral:tRNA from 1 species
CACGGCUGCUCACCGAGUUCUUCCGUGCCCGCUGAGCCGACGCCGGAUAUCGAUUUCGAACCACGGCCCCCCGUGCUGUAGGGUC